rnacentral:misc_RNA from 1 species
GAACUUCUUUCUUGAUACAACUCAAAAAAUGAGGCUUAAGGAGUUCACUCAAAAAAUGUCAUCACAGUUAUUUAUUUUGUGCAUGCCUUGCUAAUAAUCAACAAUGACAUGAAGGGGAUAGCUAUUUAAACAAGAUCCCAGUGACAUUAAGGUGAAAUGCAUUUAUGUGAUCAACAAGGUCCAUAGGAGAAGGCUGCAGCUGCAAAGCAUCCCAGACAUUAGACAUCAUGAAGAAACUCCAUAUGGGAGAAGCGCAGCAGCCACAAUUCUCCCUUCUUCGUUCAAUAUGUUGUAAGUUGAUGCAGCAUUCCUCUGCAACAAAAGUAAAAAAAUAGAUUGCAAUAGUGUCCAAGAGAAGCCAGCAACAAAUGCUGACGUAUGAAAAAUGCAAUCUGACAUGCAUAAUUGGUUGCUCUGUUGGAAUUAUUAGCUUAUCCAAUGGAAAUAAAACAUACUAUCACCAAAUCACUUCUACUGAUUACAUCAACAUAAUUUAACAUGUGCUAAUGUGUAUAAAUAAAUGAAAUUGCCAUCUACAUGGAAUCAUUGCCCAAUUUUCACUCGUUAGGUAGACAUGUUUAUGAUUGCAGAUUCACUUCUUUCAUUUGGCAACCACUUGUUUGUAAGGUUUUUACAAGCAAUCAAAACAAAGAUACAGACACAAACUCAUCCAUUUCCAUAAACAUAAUAAGUUACCGAGUCAAUGGAUUCUAAUUUCAUGCCAGUAGACCGAAUGAAGCAUCUGAGUUCUGGAUCUACUUGUUGAAUCUGCCUUCCACAUCCAAGAAUCAAAAUCUCUGGUAUUGGGCGCAAAAUGCGGAAGAUGGAUAAGCUUUCAGGAGUAAUCUGAGAUAGGUGUUUGGGAGACCAAGAUAGAAGCAAGUUGCCAACACAAAGCAAGCUACCUUCGUACUCGACCCCAUUCACUGUGAAUCCCGUGUUAGUAUACCCUUGAAAACGGAGUUGGUCCUGAGGAACAUUGUCAAUGAGAUUGAUCUGAUCGUAGAGAGAGAAAGCGCGUCUCAGCGAUGGCAAUGCUUGACUCCUUUCCUCUAUUGCGCGCUUUCGCAGACUUUGUAUCAGCUUAGGCAGUGUAGUCACCACUCUCUGUCGUAUUAUUGCCAUAUCUUCGUUUACACUUCUUUCAGCCAAAAGGCCAAUUUCAUCUCUUAUAGGGGAGGCUCAAGUAAGUACUCCAACUUAAUUUGGGUUCAAUAAAGCAAGCAUAAGUUAAAAUAGGGAAAGAAAGGGGAGAAGGAGGUCACAUCUCAACCACAAUAAUCUGAGAACAAUCUGUGCAGUGCGUGACGUUCGGGAAAGGAGCAGCGUCAGGUGAGCUAUGUCCUGUCGAUUUCGUCAGGUCCUCAGUCUGGCAGCCGAAGAAGGAGUCCUCUGUAUUGGCGUGUGAAGCUGCUAUUGGGACUCGUAGACGACAAUAAGGCCCGGUGAAGUUGGGUUCAAAUGGUGCUGCGGUAGAAAGCUGGGCACUCUCGGGAUUCUAUGAAAAUGGGGAAACGGCCAAGUGAAUUGGGCUAGCAGUGGCGGGUCGGUUAUUGGAGGGAGGCUGUGCUGCGGGUGAGGAGGAUGAGCAUAAGUUGCGUUUUUUAGCCAGGGAGAAUGUCGUUUUAGGGAGAUUAUGUGUAAGGCUUCCCCAUUU